rnacentral:rRNA from 1 species
AGAACGAACGCUGGCGGCAUGCCUAAUACAUGCAAGUCGAACGAACUCUUCGGAGUUAGUGGCGCACGGGUGCGUAACGCGUGGGAAUCUGCCCCUUGGUUCGGAAUAACAGUUGGAAACGACUGCUAAUACCGGAUGAUGACGAAAGUCCAAAGAUUUAUCGCCAAGGGAUGAGCCCGCGUAGGAUUAGCGUAGUUGGUGAGGUAAAGGCUCACCAAGGCAACGAUCCUUAGCUGGUCUGAGAGGAUGAUCAGCCACACUGGGACUGAGACACGGCCCAGACUCCUACGGGAGCAGCGAGUAGGGAAUAGUUGACAAGUGGGCGAAAGCCUGACUCCGAGCAAGUGCCG